rnacentral:tRNA from 1 species
GACCACGUAACUCAGUUGGCAGAGCAUUGGACUAGUAUCCCAAAGGUCGCGGGUUCGAUUCUCACCGUGGCCA